CCAAAAAACCCAACAGAGAUUGGUCAUCUCAAUAAAAACUGCAUGGUGCUUACAAAUUCUACCAUAGCCAGAGCAUUCAACAACACUUUAGACAUGGAAUUACUACGUGAGCUGCUAUGAACAUUUUUAAUUCCCCCAUAAA